GCUGGUGUCCAGUAUCAAAUAACCGUUACUGCAGUGGCAGAUGAUGGUCUUAUUGAAGGAGACAAAGCCACUGUUUCUCAAUACACAAAGCCUGCUGCAGUCAGAAACCUCACUGUUGGUGGGAUCACAACUUCCUCUAUAUCUGUAAUGUGGACUAAACCAGAGGGAAGCAGCUCUUUCUAUAGAGUACAGUGGACUGAUGGAACAACUAACUGGAAUGUUAGUGUCACUGAAACAAAAAGAAACAUCACUGAGCUGACUGCUGGAGUGCUUUACAAUUUUACUGUCAUAGCAGUGGCUGGAGAUGACAAAACAGAAAGUGACGUGUCUGAGGCUUUUCACCAUACAAAGCCGGAAGUAGUCAGGAAUCUCACUUUCACUGAAAUAACAACAUCCUCUAUAUCUCUGAUGUGGAUUAAACCAGAGG